UCUGUUGUACCACAUAUUUUAAUAUUAUAAAAUUUGUAUUUACAUUAAAAAGUUCCAGACUAGUAGGAAUCACAAUGAACCUACAGUGAGCACCCCAGCAAGGAAUAUAUUCAAGCUUAUUAGCUUCCAGCUAUUGCUGGAAAAUGGAAAUUUCUAUAAUGAUAUGGAGGCCAACAAAGACUCCAGAGCAUGUCUGGCAGCGCCUCAUAGGGCUAUCCUGCCCACGACUCCCAGUCCACCAGCCGCGCCGGUCCGUCGACUAAUCACAACUCCAACCCGGUCAACCGCAACAGGAGCCACAAGAAGAUGAGAUGGUGCUGGAGAUGAAGGUGAUCGAAGUCAAUGACCACUUAUACACCCGCGAAAUGAUGCGGUGAAAAAAACUAUGGUCUUGUUUUAACAUUAAUGUUAUAACUUUAUUUGCUUAGACUGAUUUGAAAUAUUCUUUAUUGAAAGUGUAGGUAUAUGUAUAAUGUAGGGAGGUUUGUCCUAUUUUUGUUAAAAUAAAAAAUAAAAAAAUUACACGUAAAGUAUAUUUUGUUGAAUUUAGCUAUUUUUAUCAGUACUUCCGUGCCGCGACUAUAUCUCGCAGAUCGUUGGGCAGUGGUCGAACACGUAG